UACGGAGGGGACUAGCGUUGUUCGGAAUUACUGGGCGUAAAGCGCACGUAGGCGGAUUUGUAAGUCAGGGGUGAAAUCCCGGGGCUCAACCUCGGAACUGCCUUUGAUACUGCGAAUCUCGAGUCCGGAAGAGGUGAGUGGAAUUCCUAGUGUAGAGGUGAAAUGCGCAGAUAUCAGGAGGAACACCGGUGGCGAAGGCGGGUCUCUGGGCCGAAACUGACGCUGAGGAGCGAAAGCGUGGGGAGCAAACAGG
rnacentral:rRNA from 1 species